rnacentral:rRNA from 1 species
GGAAGCCGGGUGUACCCUAAACGUCCGGGUAACCGGCAAGGAGCCGCCUAGGGUAAAACUGGUGACUGGGGCU